rnacentral:rRNA from 1 species
UACGGAGGGUGCGAGCGUUGUCCGGAAUCACUGGGCGUAAAGGGCGCGUAGGCGGCGCGGCGAGUCGGUGGUGAAAGCCCGGGGCUCAACCCCGGGUCGGCCACCGGUACUGCCGGGCUGGAGCAUCGUAGAGGCAGGCGGAAUUCCGGGUGUAGCGGUGGAAUGCGUAGAGAUCCGGAAGAACACCGGUGGCGAAGGCGGCCUGCUGGGCGAUGGCUGACGCUGAGGCGCGACAGCGUGGGGAGCAAACAGGAUUAGAAACCCCAGUAGUCC